rnacentral:rRNA from 1 species
UACGGGGGGGGCAAGCGUUGUUCAGAAUUACUGGGCGUAAAGGGUUCGUAGGUGGCUCGCUAAGUCAGACGUGAAAUCCCUCAGCUUAACUGGGGAACUGCGUCUGAUACUGGAAAGCUUGAGUGCAGGAGAGGAACGCGGAAUUCCAGGUGUAGCGGUGAAAUGCGUAGAUAUCUGGAGGAACACCGGUGGCGAAGGCGGCGUUCUGGACUGCAACUGACACUGAGGAACGAAAGCCAGGGGAGCAAACGGG